UGGGGAAUAUUGCACAAUGGGCGCAAGCCUGAUGCAGCCAUGCCGCGUGUGUGAAGAAGGCCUUCGGGUUGUAAAGCACUUUCAGCGGGGAGGAAGGGAGUAAAGUUAAUACCUUUGCUCAUUGACGUUACCCGCAGAAGAAGCACCGGCUAACUCCGUGCCAGCAGCCGCGGUAAUACGGAGGGUGCAAGCGUUAAUCGGAAUUACUGGGCGUAAAGCGCACGCAGGCGGUUUGUUAAGUCUGAUGUGAAAUCCUCGGGCUCAACCUGGGAACUGCAUCUGAUACUGGCAAGCUUGAGUCUCGUAGAGGGGGGUAGAAUUCCAGGUGUAGCGGUGAAAUGCGUAGAGAUCUGGAGGAAUACCGGUGGCGAAGGCGGCCCCCUGGACGAAGACUGACGCUCAGGUGCGAAAGCGUGGGGAGCAAACAGG
rnacentral:rRNA from 1 species